UUGGCCCUGAAAUUCGCAAUGCAGGCUGCAGGCUGCAGGCUGGAGGGGCUCUGCCUCCCACAACUGGAUUAGGAAAGCCAUCAGGGAAGAUCACUGCCUGGUCCUGGUGCAUUCCACCCCUGGAGGCUGCCUUGGCUGACUCCCUCCAACCCCCACAGGUUCUGCUGUUUGGCGGAUGCAAGUCACUGUGGCCUACACACCCUGACAUUCUUCCGGCUUUCCAAGAGUACUCACUCUUAGGAGAUAAACUCUGGCUGGUUUGAUCCCUGCUCUGAGGCCUCCCAGGGAUCCCAUAUCCCUCGGUUUUCUUUUACCAGAGCAUCUGCUUUCUGGAACAGCACUGCAUAUUUGUGUUGACUUGGCUUUUGUCUGCUAACUCUGUAGGCUCUGGAACAUUGAAGACAACUAUGACAACAGCAAUGAUAAUAAAAAUGAUCAUAAUGAUUAUGAUGAUGAUGAAGAGAAGGGGACAAUCAGUGUGUACCAAAACUCAUUCUGUACUGCCUAGUUUCAUGUUAACUUGACGUAAGCUAGAGUCAUUUAGGAAGAGGUACUCUCAAUUAAGAAAAUGCUCCCAUCAGAGUAGCCUGUGGAUAAGCCUGUAGGGUAUUUUUUUGAUUGAUGAUGGAUGUGGGAUGUACCAGCCCAUUGUGGGUGGUGCUACCUCUGGGCUGGUGGUCCUGGGUUCUAUAAGAAAAGAGACUGAAUAAGCCACGAGGAACACGCCAGUAAGCAUCGCCCCUCUAUGACCACUGCAUCAAUCCUUUUCUGCCUUGAGUCUCUGCCCUGACUUCCCUGCAUGAUAGACUGCAAGCUACAAGAUAAAAUAACCCUUUCUUCCCCUAGUCGCUUCUGAAUGCUGUGCUUUAAGCACAUCUGUAUGCAAAUGCAUUUAGCAUUUAUUUCCCUCCCAAAUGGAACCACUGUUACCUCCUCCAUUUUGCAGAUGAACAACCUGAAAGCAGGGAUGUUGAUUUCUCCGUCCACUGCUGAACUCCAGUAGACAGACUUGGCUACAUAACAACAGCAUAAGUGCUAUCAGAAAAGGGAGGAAAGGGACAGGGACUCUGGUUCACUCAGUUGGCUCUGCCCCUCUGCCCAUCUCUCCCUCUGUACUUAUAUUGCAAAAGCCUGUGAAGAGUUUGUGUGUACAUCAAGAGAAACUUGUUUUUGUCCCCAAGGAGAAUAAAAUUACAACCUAA